rnacentral:lncRNA from 1 species
CCGUACGGCACCGGCCUGCUCCGCGGCGAGGCGUGGAGCUCUUUGCACCAGGAGCUUGCCGAAGCCGCUCGGCCAAUCAGAAACUCCAGCCUCAGACCUGCCCCACAACCCCAAGCCAUCGCGUGGAGUCGCAUCGGAGCCGCGGAGAAAAGGAAGAGGGGGAAACCACUGUGAUGCCCGCCCGGCCCAGGGUGGGGAGGCGAGGUCCGCAGGUGUUGAUGAGGAAGCCUGAACGUCAACACUCUGCGCGGAGACUUCGGCUCUGCAGCCUUCCUUCCACGGUGGUGGGCAUCUUGCCAAUUUGCAGGACCAAGAAAGAAGCCCAGCUGCUCUCAGAGGACCCGAACUUCAAAUUUAAACCCACCUCCUCUCGUUGUGUCCGGCCUUCUGGGCUUACAGCAUUUCAAUAGGAGCGGGGUGGGGUGGGGUGGGGUG